AAAAGAGGCCCUUGUCCAUAGA
rnacentral:miRNA from 1 species